rnacentral:rRNA from 1 species
AGUGAACGCUGGCGGUAGGCCUAACACAUGCAAGUCGAACGGCAGCACAGUAAGAGCUUGCUCUUACGGGUGGCGAGUGGCGGACGGGUGAGGAAUACAUCGGAAUCUACUUUUUCGUGGGGGAUAACGUAGGGAAACUUACGCUAAUACCGCAUACGACCUACGGGUGAAAGCAGGGGAUCUUCGGACCUUGCGCGAUUGAAUGAGCCGAUGUCGGUUUAGCUAGUUGGCGGGGUAAAGGCCCACCAAGGCGACGAUCCGUAGCUGGUCUGAGAGGAUGAUCAGCCACACUGGGACUGAGACACGGUCCAGACUCCUACGGGAGGCAGCAGUGGGGAAUAUUGGACGAUGGGCGCAAUCCUGAUCCAGCCAUACCGCGUGGGUGAAGAAGGGCUUCGGGUUGUAAAGCCCUUUUGUUGGGAAAGAAAAGCAGCAGGUUAAUACCCCGCUGUUCUGACGGUACCCAAAGAAUAAGCACCGGCUAACUUCGUG